AGCUUUGCGCAGUGGCAGUAUCGUAGCCAAUGAGGUUUAUCCGAGGCGCGAUUAUUGCUAUUUAAGUAAUCUCUUAUACCCAAUGUGGGGCUUGAACUCAGGAUCAAGAGUCAAAUGCUCUUCCAACUGAGC
rnacentral:snRNA from 1 species